GGACUACACGGGUAUCUAAUCCUGUUUGCUCCCCUAGCUUUCGUGCAUCAGCGUCAGUUAUGGUCCAGUGAGCCGCUUUCGCCACAGGUGUUCCUUCCGAUAUCUACGCAUUUCACCGCUACACCGGAAAUUCCACUCACCUCUCCCACACUCAAGCCCGGCAGUUUCUCAUGCAGACUUCAAGUUGAGCCUGAAGAUUUCACAUAAGACUUACCGAACCGCCUACGCACCCUUUACGCCCAAUAAUUCCGAACAACGCUUGCCCCCCUCGUAUUACCGCGGCUGCUGGCAC
rnacentral:rRNA from 1 species